rnacentral:rRNA from 1 species
GACGAACGCUGGCGGCGUGCUUAACACAUGCAAGUCGAACGGAAAGGCCCUGCUUUUGUGGGGUGCUCGAGUGGCGAACGGGUGAGUAACACGUGAGUAACCUGCCCUUGACUUUGGGAUAACUUCAGGAAACUGGGGCUAAUACCGGAUAGGAGCUCCUGCUGCAUGGUGGGGGUUGGAAAGUUUCGGCGGUUGGGGAUGGACUCGCGGCUUAUCAGCUUGUUGGUGGGGUAGUGGCUUACCAAGGCUUUGACGGGUAGCCGGCCUGAGAGGGUGACCGGCCACAUUGGGACUGAGAUACGGCCCAGACUCCUACGGGAGGCAGCAGUGGGGAAUAUUGCACAAUGGGCGGAAGCCUGAUGCAGCAACGCCGCGUGCGGGAUGACGGCCUUCGGGUUGUAAACCGCUUUCGCCUGUGACGAAGCGUGAGUGACGGUACUGGGUAAAGAAGCCCCGGCUAACUACGUG